rnacentral:sRNA from 1 species
GGAAUACAAUUAAAGUAACGUUUAAGUCCUCCUCUCAAAUACCAAUGUGUGGAAGAUUUUAUUUGUUUUUUUAGUUUACUCUCCGCACUGAUUUACAUUUUAUUUACAAGGAGGCUUCUCAAUAAUGGGAACAGGUACAGUUAAAUGGUUUAAUUCUGGUAAAGGAUAUGGUUUUAUCACUAAUGAUGACGGUUCGGGCGAUUUAUUCGUUCAUUUCUCCGCUAUCAACUCCGAAGGCUUCAAAACUUUGGAAGAAGGCCAGAAAGUAACUUUCGAUACGGAAGCAGACAGCCGCGAUGCAAGCAAACUGCGCGCUGUAAACGUAACAGUAGUAAAAU